UUUGUUUUCAGAACACGGCCAUCCAGAUGGAGCACUGCAUCCUAAUUACCAGAGCUGAAGGACAGAGGACAUCUCCGCGCCUCCUUGGCCUGGUGCAUCCGGUCAAAUGAGAUUCCCGAGAUGUGAAAGAAAUAGCCAUACACAGUAAAUCAAAGGCGUGGCCCUCGGAUUGUAGCAAUGAGCCGCCCUGCCAGCCGAUCGGAUGAGAGGAAAUCCACUGCAUACAGAUUUCAACAUCAGCUGCCAAACAUAAUG